rnacentral:rRNA from 1 species
UACGGAGGGUGCAAACGUUGCUCGGAAUCAUUGGGCGUAAAGCGCACGUAGGCGGCCUGAUAAGUCGGGUGUGAAAGCCCUGGGCUCAACCCAGGAAGUGCACUCGAAACUGUCAGGCUUGAAUAUGGAAGAGGGUCGCGGAAUUCCCGGUGUAGAGGUGAAAUUCGUAGGUAUCGGGAGGAACACCGGUGGCGAAGGCGGCCUUCUGGACGGAAACUGACGCUGAGACGCGAAAGCGUGGGGAGCAAACAGG